ACUCUCUUUCUGUUGGAGAGAGGAAUGGCAGUCCUCUAUAUUUCACUGGAGCACCGCGUUUCGACCAUGUGGGGCAGGUCAUAGUUUUCCAACCUGAUGACGACAAGUGGAACACAACACAAAGAAUAACAGGGGACCAGAUUGGUUCCUAUUUUGGUGCAGAGCUUUGCUCUGUAGACAUCGACUCAGAUGGUAACACCGACUUCCUGCUGGUUGGAGCUCCAAUGUUUUAUCUGUCAGAGGAGAGAAAAGAAGGAAUGAUCUACAUCUACUCUCUAUCUGAUGAGAUGGAGUUAAAAAGGGAGCAUGAAGUGCGAGCACCAUCCAUGGGCAGAUUUGGCACCACCAUAUCCAGUCUGUCAGAUCUGAAUGGAGAUGGUCUCACAGAUGUUGCAGUGGGAGCCCCUCUGGAGCAGGAUAAUGCAGGAGCUGUUUACAUCUACCUUGGACAAAGAGGCAAAGGGAUACGCAAACGUUUCAGC